rnacentral:misc_RNA from 1 species
CCGAGAAAUGGGCUCCGGCUCAAUCUCCCACCCACUGUGUACCGAUUUGAACCGGACCGGAACGGUAAGGUCAAUCAACUCUUGUCCUACGGGACGCAUGAAAAAUUA